rnacentral:rRNA from 1 species
CGGGGAAUAUUGGACAAUGGGCGCAAGCCUGAUCCAGCCAUGCCGCGUGAGUGACGAAGGUCUUAGGGUUGUAAAACUCUUUCACUGGUGACGAUGAUGACGGUAGCCAGAGAAGAAGCCCCGGCUAACUCCGUGCCAGCAGCCGCGGUAAUACGGAGGGGGCUAGCGUUGUUCGGAAUUACUGGGCGUAAAGCACAUGUAGGCGGCGUAUCAAGUCGGGGGUGAAAGGCCUGGGCUCAACCCAGGAACUGCCUUCGAUACUGAUGCGCUGGAGUCCGGGAGAGGGUAGCGGAAUUCCCAGUGUAGAGGUGAAAUCCGUAGAUACACGAUGGAACGCCAAAAGCGAAAGCAGGAUGCUGGGGGUGUACUGACACUCAGAGACGAAAGCGUGGGGAGCAAAGGGGAUUAGAUACCCCGUAGUCCCUGAGCGGGCUGGCAAGGCGCAU